UUUUUUUGGAGUUUAUGGCCUGGUAUCUAGACCUUUAGGCCAAGUCUUAAGUAUUUUUAUUCAGUUUAUUAUAAUUUCCCCACUGUAUUUUUGAUGAAUUUAUAUAGAGGCACGUAAUAGGAUCUAUUUUUUAACAUAUCACUCAGGCGGCGGGAGGGAUCUUGCACUGUCACUUGAUUUUGCACUAUGUCACUAAUUUCACUGACAAGAAUCAAUCUGUCAAACGAAAAGCACUCACAUUUAAAUAUGAAAUGUUCGAUAUCACCAACCGAAUCAUUGCAGAAGGUGCAAUAGCUGCUCUCCACUAUUCCCAACCGAGCUAGGUGGGCUGGGACGGUCGAGUGACCAAAACGCAGUCUGUUUAUAAUCGUAAUAAAGUCCCGACUGGCCAUUUUCAGUUUGUUAUACCAUGGUGCUACAGUACAAUGAGAGGCAGAAUUGGGAAAGAACCUCGUAAAAGCUCACCUCCCGAAGUCUGCUGGGCUGAGCAUUGUACAGGAAAAGAUCUGACAAGAGAGAGAUGAAGCUGUCAGCACAACUUCGCCCUCUCCGGAAGCCAUAUUGAACAUGUGGAAUGAUGUUGUUCACCUCUACAUAAGACUCAAGACGCAUCUUUAUCAUGUUUUCAUUAAGCUUUCCAACACAAGAUGACAGUGAUAUGGGACGAUAUGAGUUAGGGUCUUCAGGUGGUUUGUCAUGCUUAAGUAGAGGGAUUACACACUGUGUUUUCCAAGAUUCAGGAAUUUUUUUUAAGUGCCAAAGAGCAUUAAGAUUAGCUAAUAGUUUCUUUUGAACGGACUGAUUUAGGUUUUUGAUUAAAAUAUAUGGACAAUCAUCUAAACCAGGGGUUGUGUUUCGUCUGGAUUGUAAACUUGUACAAAACUCACUCCAAGUAAAGGGCUCUAUGAGGAAACUGGACUUUUGAAGACUAUUAUUAAUUUGAAAAUAACUUUCUAGAUUAUCAAUAACCCUACAUCCAUUCUGAGAUAAUUUUUCUAAGAGAGGGACAACAAAUUCGUCUUUAUAUGUUCUAUUAUUGCAUUUUAUUCGUUUAAAUAACUUGAUGUAUUUCCAAAUAAUACUAACAGGUGUAGUUCUGUUAAAAGUAUUACAGAUGUUCGCCCAACCAUUGCGUUUAUGUUCUGAAAUAGUCUUUUUCUUAACAGCAUCAAGUUUUUUAUAAUUAAUGUAAUUAUCAAUGGUUGGAUGUCUUCUGUAUAGUUUUAAAGCUUCAUAAGUUUUAAUAACACUCUGUUCACAUGUGUCACUCCACCAAGGUGCUGGAGGUUUGCAACGAUAGUUAUUUGCUUUGACAAACUUUGGCACAGUAUCCCUCUUAAGUGUAUCAAGCCUUUCGAUAAAUUCGUCAUAUGACUGUAAUGGAUUCUCAUUAUUAACUUCAAAGUUAGAAAAAGCAGUUAAAGAUAGCUCAUUGUAUUUCGUCCAGUCUGUCUUGUUGUAUAAGAAUUUUUCAAUGGGAGGAUUAAUUUGGUAUCUAUCAACGGACAAUAAAACACGAGUAAGCGUAGGAAAAUGAUAGCUCCCCAUAGAAUCAUCAUGCACCCACCAUUCGCAUAGUGGAGUGAUUGGAGCACUACAAAAACUGACAUCAAUAGCCGAUGGAUUUCGGUUAGGAUAAUUAAUAGUAGUGAAGCUACCAUUGUUAAGGACACAUAGAUCAAAUUCAUCAAUUAAAUCGUAUAACUGAUGACCCCGACUUUUCGUGGUCAUACACCCAAAUGCCACAUGGUGAGCGUUGAAAUCUCCAGCCACAUAUAUUGGCUUAGGCAAAUCUCUAAUUAUAUUACGCAGUUUACUUAUUCUGAAGCUACCAUUCGAGGGAGGACAGUAUACACAUAAAAUCGUUAAGUGGUUACCACUUACAUAUAACGAUAAUGCCACAGUCUGAAUGUCUUGGUAAAAUCUGGUUUGAAUAAUAUUAUAUUUAAAAUACGGUUUGAUCAAAAUUGCUACUCCACCAUGCUCAUUUUGAGCAUUAUGAUAGUGGGAAUUAUAUCCCGAAAUUUUAAAAUGCUGAGUAUCUUUCAGCCAAGUUUCAUUGAGUAGACAGAUAUCAACAUUUUGCUCAGCUAAAAAUUUAGACAAUAAAGGUUUUUUUCUAUGUAUACUUUGAAUAUUGUAUUGAGCGAUACAUAACUGCUGUAUGUUCUGUACUGUACUAUCCAUUAAUGUGACAGAUUUUUUAAAAGUAAGUCUUUUAUGAACAGUGUAGUCACCGGUUCAUUAUCUGUUUUAUUACCCAAUUCAACUAAAGUUUGGACCAUUGCCAUCAGAAUAUUCUUAUUGUUUGCAAUUUGAGCCUUAAGUUGAGUUUGGUUCAAGUUGGGUUCAGGCACUGUUUUAUUUACAUUAUUUACAAUUUUUACAUUUUUAUUUAAUUUAUGUACACUUUGGUUUAUUGAUGGCAGGGUCUUAACAAUGCUGCUCGACUGUGUAGGUAAAGAUGGAAAAUCAGAUGUCAUAAUUGUAUUAGCCACAGAGGCAUAAGUAAUGUUACCCUUCUUUUCAAGUAUUUUUUUCAUUUUUAUUGGGCAAGAUUUGGAAAUGGCCAGGUGAGGGCCACUGCAAUUGACACAACACAAGUUCUCUUUUUUAUCACAGUCUCUGAAAUUAUGUUCCCCAGCACAUAUCGAGCAACGUUGUUUACCAUUACAAAUUUUCGCAGGGUGGUUGAACUUGAAGCACCGGAAGCAUUGCUGCAACGGCGGGACAUAUUCAAACACCCUGAACGAAAAUAGGUCAUAUUGGAUGUUGUCGGGCAGAACAUUUGAUAGGAAAGUUAUACUAACAGUCUCAAGACCUACAGUACUUUGACCGACUUUUUUCGUGAAUCUUCUCACUGAAAUAAUUUCAUAGAUCGAAGACAGUUUUGUAUAUAAGUCCUUGUUCGAAAUGUUGGUAGGCACAUAUCGGAUGAUUCCAGUUUUUUCUAUUUGCGCUGCAGGAAUAUGCGCCUUCAAGUUGUGCUUUGUUAAAAAGUCUGUAUUUGUGAUGAAAUUAUUUGCAGUGUUGUAUUGCUUAAAAACAACUGCAAUUUUGUUGGCAUUGACUCUAUGUAAAGCUACUACACCUUUCACUUCCGAAGUAAAAAUAUGAUUCAAGUAAA
rnacentral:lncRNA from 1 species